rnacentral:rRNA from 1 species
UACGGAGGAUGCGAGCGUUAUCCGGAUUUAUUGGGUUUAAAGGGUGCGCAGGCGGCAUGUCAAGUCAGCGGUCAAAAUGCGGCGCUCAACGCCGUACCGCCGUUGAAACUGGCGAGCUGGAGUGCGUGGGAUGGCGGCGGAAUGCGCGGUGUAGCGGUGAAAUGCAUAGAUAUCGCGCAGAACCCCGAUUGCGAAGGCAGCUGCCAACCACGUGACUGACGCUCAUGCACGAAAGCGUGGGUAUC